ACCAGCUGAGCCACCCCACCCAGAGCGCUCGCGAAAGGCCAGCGUGUCCAGGUGGGGCCGGCUGGUGGCCCGCUCUCCCGGCCCAGGGGCCGCCUCUCUGAGGACUGCAGUGGAGCCCGGAGAACUCGGAGCAGGGCCCCAGACAGGCAGGGUCCGGAGCCUGGCUGUGCUAGGGCCCACCAGCCUCCACCCCGUGGGGCCCAUAAAGGGGAAAGGUGGUGUGGAGGAGCAGAGAGAACACUCAAGGAUAACAUCCAGAUCCCUUGGCAUGAGUUGAGCAACGGCAGAGGCUGUGCUGGCUCCAGGAUCCUAGAGGAAGAGUGUUGCCCCCAGCCAAGAGCAUAAGAGCGCCUGGGGUAGGACCGUGGGAAGGAGCUGGUAUGGAAGACCAGAACUCCUGGAAACCACAACAUCGGGCCUGAGUGCCUCAUGACUCUCUGGAACAGCGCGGUGAAGACCUCGCCUAGCUAGAGGCUUGGAGGAGAGGGGUGUCCUAAGCAGACAGGAGGCCCGACCUUGAGCAGACCCCAGCAGCAGCCUCCGGGGAAUUAUGCACUUUGCCAGAAGAUUUGGGGUUUAAACCCUUUGCAAGCUGAGCUGUCUCCGUCUCCCCUCCGUGCCAGUCACAGGCCUGGGCACCCUGUGAGUAGAGCUGACAACCUUUGAUGAACCGGCCCCUGAGGGCAGGAGACACAAAAGCAGACAGUGGAGUAUAAUAAUGGGAGAGAUGGACAACGAUUUCACCCAUCCUGCCCCAGGAAGCUGCUGCCACCUACUUUUCCCCCAAGUCGGCCCGAGUGGGGUCUGCCGGAUCUGCAGACGUGCAGCCGGAAGGUGGAAGUGUGGAUACCUGCUCUCCCCACCCCACCCCACCCCACUUUCACCGUGGCCCAAACAAUAUACAAUGCCUCCUCUCAUUAGUUUUCAUCCGCAUGUGACAGGCCAGGAGCAGCUGAGACAGCUUUGAGGGCUGGGGAGAGGGGGAUUUCCGGGGGACAGCUGGGUGAGGGGAGGCUCUCCCUCUCCCCUCUUCUGACAAGAGGGGGAAUUUUUCUGGCCGCAGGAUUUAGCCACCCCAGUUCAGCAACCCUUGCUGGCAGCCCUGCUUCAGGGGCAGGAGAGGGACAGAACAGUGGGGGGAGGGCCCAUCCUAGCCUGAAGGGGAUUUCCAGAACGCUGGGACGUGGGCCAUGAGUGGGGAUUUGAGGCCUCCGCGAGGAGGGAGGCGGAGAGGCAGCUGGAACGAGCCCUUGAAGGUGCUGGAGGUAAGGGAGAGGAUGGAGGCCUUCUUGGCCUCAGCUUCGCGCUCAUCUCAUCCCACUCCUGGUAGGGGCACCUCUCUGGGACGGGAUUUUCCAUUGGAAGUCUGAACAAAGGAGUAGGGAAGCUGAGGUCAGCCUGGCGGGUGAGGGCUCCUAGUCCACCUCUAGUGCUGGCCGGCUGGAUGACCUUGAGCGAGACACUUCGUCCUCUGGGCCUCAGCCGCCCGUCUGUAUGUGCCAUGAGGGCAGCCUGUGGCAUCUCAGGCCGUCGACGCUGAGCAUCUGGAAUUGGCAGAUGCCCAAGCUCUGGGGCCCAUAUCGGAUCACCCACCUAUUACCCAAAGCCACUUUGUGCCAGGCCCUGUGCUGGGCAGGGCAGAGGGAAAGGACCAUCAACCCAGCUCCUGCCCUCAGGCUGUUCAAAACAGUGAGGGAUGGCGAUUCCUAUACCCACAGAACCCAGACAGCCAGUUGGCCCCAGCCCUUUGCAGGUGCCUUGCCCGAUUCCAGCCCUGCAAAUCCCUCAACCCCCCAGCUUCCCCUCAUCCUUCCAUUUUAGUUCACGUGUCACCUCCUCCGUGAAGGCAUCCCUGAUGUCACCCAUGGGAUCACUAUGCUCCCUCCUUUGUCCCACUUCUUGACCCUUAAUUACCUGUUCAGUGUCUGGUUCCUCCCUCAGAUUACGAGGUUCGUGAGACUGGGACCUUGUCUCUCAUUCAUCCCCAGGACAAUGUCUGGCACAUAGUAGGUACUUAUUACCUAAUAUUAAAUACUUACUAAGUAUUUUUUUUUAAAGAUUUUAAUUUAUUUGAGACAGAGAGAAUGAGAGACAGAGAGCAUGAGAGGGAGGAGGGUCAGAGGGAGAAGCAGACUCCCUGCCGAGCAGGGAGCCCGAUGCGGGACUCGAUCCCGGGACUCCAGGAUCAUGAC